AAAAAUGGAAUCAUUUCCAUCCGAAUAUUCAUCCAAGAAACAUCUCAGCACUUUGUAACUACUUGCCAAUCAUCUUCUUUCUCUAAAUCUACAACAUUAAAUGCGAAAACAUCGGUUACAUGCCCAGUACCGGUGAGAAAUGCGGAGGAAUUUGCUACGCCAAUUUUCAAUGCACUCAUUUUGCUCAUGGAAAUGGAUACUGUUUCAUGUUUAGCGAUUUCAGAGGAUUUUUUUCCGAGCAUGAAGCAGGGUAGACUUGUGGUUACAUUCCCAGUCGUCUCAAUUUAGUCGGAUAAGCAGUUGAACUAUACAAACGAAAUAUAGAACCGCGGCUUUGAAAACGCCAAAAAUCAUGUUCGGAAAAUAUGGACACAAAUAUGUAUCAUGCUAUUGAUUCCCUCAACAAUAACAAAAAAAGGAAUUGAGAUUUUAUAGUUUUCAUCUGGUUGUCAUGUUUGACAGUAUCAAAACUAUUUAUUGCUGGCCAAUACAUUUGAUCCAUAGUUCA